rnacentral:misc_RNA from 1 species
UGCGGAAGGAUCACUAAAGAGAACUUGCCCUUCGGGGUAGAUCUCCCACCCUUUGUUUACAUUACCUUUGUUGCUUUGGCAGGCCCGUCUUCGGACCACCGGCUCCGGCUGGUCAGCGCCUGCCAGAGGAUCCAAAACUCAUAUUAUCAUUGUCGUCUGAGUACUAUAUAAUAGUUAAAACUUUCAACAACGGAUCUCUUGGUUCUGGCAUCGAUGAAGAACGCAGCGAAAUGCGAUAAGUAAUGUGAAUUGCAGAAUUCAGUGAAUCAUCGAAUCUUUGAACGCACAUUGCGCCCUCUGGUAUUCCGGGGGGCAUGCCUGUUCGAGCGUCAUUACAACCCUCAAGCUCUGCUUGGUAUUGGGCAUCACCAGUUCUGGUGUGUCUUAAAAUCAGUGGCGGUGCCAUUCGGCUUCAAGCGUAGUAAUUCUUCUCGCUUCUGGAGUUCCGGGUGUGUGCUUGCCAGCAACCCCCAAUUUAUCAAAGG